rnacentral:lncRNA from 1 species
AAGAAUACAGUGGCAUGAUCUUUGUAGUCAUGCAUUCUGGAGAACCAAAUUGACUCCGGUUCCAUUGCCAUCUCAGCCUGCUUUUGACAGCAUGAUAAGUUUACAUACUAAUCCAUGCCUAUUGGAACAUAAUGGUAGCAGACCAAACAAGACCCCUCCUAAGUAUCGUGAGAAAGAUGCAAAAAGAGUUCAUAAGCAGGAAGAGAACUCUAAUUUAGGAUUAAAAGUUCAUGAGACACCAGUCAAGGGUACACCAGCUGGCCAUAAAACACAAACAAAGAAUUCUGGCAGGAUUGAGGAGAAGCAGAGAGAUCCUUCAACUGCUACUAAACGUGUAAAUCUUUUAAGGUUGUCAAGAAUAGCAAAAACAAACUUACAAAGGGAAAAUGAGAAGGAAAACUACCGGAGGCCUUUACCCAAUAACUCCGAGAAUGCUGCUGAAGUUCAAAUUGAAAACACUGAUAUGGAGCUUGAUUUUAACGAAGACAUUGAAGAUGAGACACCCGAUGAAUCAGAUGGGCUUGAUAACAUCCCUGAAGAAAAAUUAUCUAGUCAGGUAAAAGCGGAAGUGACAGAUAAUAACAUGCGAGUAGAUAACACACCUGCAAGUAAUAUGCCUGCCAUAGAUGAGUCAAGAACACAUGAUGAGGAAUCAUCUUCUGAACAUGUUGAAGUGCCUGCUACCCCACCAAGUGUUAGUCCUCAACUCAAAGUUCAUAGAGUUAAAGAAGGCGCAGGGUCUGCUUUUGAUUCUGAUUCUUCAAAAUCAUCUAAUAACCUUUCGGAGGUCCUUUGGCAUCUAUCUGAUCUUGCAGUAAGACCUGUAAUGCCCAGCAGGAAAGCUAAUAAAACAUCAGAUAUCAUUCCUUCACUUCCAUUUGAGGCACUGCAAGCAUCAGACUUUGUGAAGAUGUCAAAGGAGCAACUGGAUGUACUUAACAAUAAGAUUAUAACGAUUUUUAAUGGGAGCAGUUCAAGCAUUUCAGAGAAGCAAAAUAUAAUUAGAUAUCUUGAGAUGUUGAGUAGUAAUGCUGAUGCAGCCAAUAUCUUGACCAAUGGGCCUAUAAUGCUUGUACUUGUUAAAAUGCUCCGCUUAUCUAAGACUUCAACUUUGCGUGUUCAGCUAGCUUCUCUGAUUGGGUUGUUAAUCAGACAUUCUACGUUCAUUGAAGAUGACUUGGCAAAUUCUGGCAUUUUAGGUUCACUUACUGAUGGUCUUAGAGAUAAGCAAGAAAAGGUAAGGAGGUUUUCUAUGGCAGCUUUGGGUGAGUUACUAUUCUAUAUUUCUACUCAGAAUGAUCAAAACAGAGAUCUUAAACCAUCAGAAUCUCCAUCCAAGGACAGCAGGUCUACAUCUGGUUGGCAGGUUAGAUUCAUAACCUUCAAUUUUGUGUCAUAGAAGUUUUAGUUGAUUCUGUCUCCUAUCCAUUUAACAAAUUAUGACAUGUUAAUAUUUGUUCACUAAAGAAUUUAUUUUCUUUUCUUCUCUUAAUUGAAGAUUAUGAAGUGAAGCCUUUUUUUGAAUCCCCUAGUAAUAAUUCCUCUUAGCAUUCUCUAUCUUCUACUGUUUUGUUCACCACUUAUUUGGUUCGUUAUAUACAGGUUUCAAAUUCUUUAAUUUCUCUGAUAUCAUCAGUUUUACGAAAAGGAGAAGAUGAUAUGACUCAACUAUAUGCAUUGAGGACUAUCGAAAAUGUUUGUAGUCAAGGGGGACACUGGGCAGCUCGUUUCACUAGCCAAGAUGUGAUAAAUAACCUGUGUUACAUAUACAGAGCAACUGGAAAACAGGAGAGCAUGAGGCUAACUUCUGGGUCAUGUUUGGUUCGGCUUGUUCGUUUCAAUCCUUCUAGCAUUCCUUCAGUUAUAGAGAAACUUUCAUCCAAGGAGAUAGCAUCUGCCCUUGUCAAGUGCAGUCCUCGAGAGCAGCAAGUCUGCUUGAACCUCCUAAACAUGGCCAUAUUAGGAAACCAUUCAAAUGUUGGAAGGUACCUUGCACCUUUGGCAGAGGACCGAAAUCUGGUACCUGGUCUUGUGUCUCUUAUUGAGCAAGGAAGUGAGAUUUUGAGAGGAAAGACACUUCUUUUUGUAGCCCUCCUUUGUAAAAAUGGUAGGAGGUGGUUGUCACACUUCUUUUGCAAUGCAAGAUUACUUUCUACAGUGGACAGAUUGUCAA